GGGAGAAAUUAUGGUUUAGGACCAAGUGUGUUACUAUUCAUAAGGCAAUGCAGUCGACCAGACAUUUUCCUACCCAAAGCAAUGAGGGAUUUACUUACCUUUGAAAUCUCCAUUACAUCGAAAGACAUACCCAACCCUUUCAAAACUAGAGGCUACACGGAAAUACAAGCGUGAGACGGAACAAAAAGCACAGUGUGCCAAAGCAUGUUCGUCUUCAGUUUCUAGCAUCUCCUACAACUACUGUGUUUCACUGAAAGGGCUGACAAGCAAUGAAAAUAUCAGAAGGCACGACAGCGGGAAAGAGAACAGAGGUUUGAGCAACACCAAGAGAACGAUUCAUCAAUUCCCCCCACCACCACCGUCCUCGAAACCAUACGGACGACAAAAGAAAGGUCUACCCAGUGGACAAAAUGUCUAUACCUCCAGACCAGGAGACCAACUGCACAGUGGCCUUGAUUUCACCCAAAGUUCCACAAAAUUCUGACACUGCACAAACCUUGACGAUGUGCGCGCAGCCUUAAGCAAAUCUCGUAAAAUUACACCUUAUUUUCCUGCCUACAAUAUGGUGAUGAUACUGCCUAACCCUGGAGGUCAGAAAAAUCAUUGUCAAGUACCUAGGCAUGAUAACACUGUUCUAAGAGCAUCACACAACAACCCAGUGUGGCAGGUACUAUUAUUAUCCUCAUCUUCCAACUACAGACACUGAGGCCUCUGUGUCCACUACCCCCUGGAAAUUGGUGGCACCAAGCAAUGACUAUCACCAAAUAUGGACCCACAGGUAAUUCCUGAAUUUCUCUUUUUAUCGACCAUUAAUUCCACAACUAGUUGAGUGAUGCCCUAUGGUGAAUCAGGCCCUGGAGAUACAGGAAAAAAGCGACCGGUAACCAUUACAGUAAGUGCUCUAUGAGCCCAUGUAUCACCAGUCCAGCAGUGAUCACAGUGAAGAAGACUCUAUAAUAAACAUUAAAACAACGGCGUUUUAUCUUAAGAAAUAAAGACAUUUACACAGCACUUAACUUUAAAAUACAUACAGGAACCGAAAGAAUUUCUUUGUUUGUUUUGGAACAUGUGGUACCCCAGAAAUUGUUUACAUGUGGCUACUGGCUGUGAGCAAAAUUAUUUUCAUUCCGGAGGUGCCCCAGUGUCUUAUAACUGCUACCUGUGAGAAGCAUUGUUCUCUUUCCCCGCAACAGUCACUGUGUGCCUUCUGUGCGCUACUCCCCAGCAAAAACAGGGGUCGACAGAGAAGAUGGCACCUAAAGAUGUGAAGGGGGAUGGGGAUGGGGCAGCUACCGGACACUUUGCUCUGAAGAGAUCCUGUCUUCCCGGCUUCUCCUGCUGGGAAUCAGUCUCACUGCCACCAGCAGGGAAAUGAACCACCAAAGGGAAUAAAGGGAUUCGUCACCUCUAAAUAAAUACCAGUGAUCUAAACAUUUUUGUGAGGAUUAAAUAAUAUGGUUGACAUUAAGGAUUUUACAAAAUUAUGGUUAUAUAAUAUAUACAAUUUAUGGCUAUUAUUAUUAUUACUAUUAUUUUUAAUUUCUUAAACAGUGAUUUUUCAUGAGGGUCACCAAAUUAUAGUUAAAACCAAAGGCCACCUUAAUUGAGUAAUCCCUUAUGAUCUUGCCCCCCUGAAACAAUAACGUAACUAACUAGCUCCUCUAACUCCAACUCAAAGGCUAGGUAAUUUCUGAAAAUCAAGUAUCACUCAAUAUCACUUAUUACUAUAAAUCUGACUACUUUAAAGAGGAAUUCUACCUAUUGUUAAUAUCAAGAACAAGCUCUAAUUAAAUCGAAGUGUAUUAAGAUACACUUAGAAACAGAACUAUUCUUUUUAAUAUAGUUACCAUUAUAUAUUGUUUCUUUAAAACUUCUGUUCUUUCAAGUAGGUUAAACUUCCCAUGAUAAUUUCAUCCAAUUAUCAAAUCUGUCCUUCAAGAACACCAUAAAAAGCACUAAAUUGAAUCCCAACUCAUUAAGUUGUGAUAAAUAUUAAUCCCUGGCAUAAAAAUAGAUGAAAGAAGAUUUAUUAGGAUCUAGAACUUAUACCUCCUAUACCUUGAAUGGAUUUUUUUUUUUUUUUUUUUUUUACUUUAGCAGAAAGGAAAGUUUCAUAAAGGCAAAAAUUUUAAGAGUGAGAACAAAAAGAAAUGUCACAUAUUUGAUAUUCAGAGUUUGUGGCCGUUAUCUAUCUGUGCCUGGAGAUCACUAUUACAUGUGUGCGUCUGGUCUCAGAUAGAUACAAACUACUAAAAACUUUAACUUCCCAGAUUAUUAGUAUGGCUGAAGUAGUCCUAUACUCUUACCUAUCUG